UCUCACAAGAUGUCUGGAAUGAGUGGUUUCAAAGUUGGUGAGGUCAGCAGAUCAAUGGAAGUAGGACUCUUACUUGAUUUCUUGAUUAUGCCCUCAGGUUCCCCCCCAUGGCCACAAUAUGGCUGCCACAGCUCCAGACAUCACAGCAGGAUCUAAAGCAAGAAAACCCUGUAUCAGUCUAACACCUGUUCAAGGUUAACAUGGCAGCCAGUGGAAUUGAAGCCUAGAUUUUUCUACCUUACUGACUUUAUCUACAAGGCUGAAGAUGACUCAUUAUCCGGGUUUCGAACCUGCUGUGUCCUUGUGAGGAGGAGUGGAAUGACAGCCACGGUGAGCUGACAGCUGGGAGUCACAGGUGACGGGUGAGCAGGAGCCCCGGGAGGCUCAGCCAGGAUGGGCCCUUGCCUGACCUCUGGGAGAGGCGUCGGGGAGUGGUCCAUCUGCCACCCUCCGCAGGGCAUCACCCCAGGGAUGACAGACCCUGCUGAUCGACUGGUCCCCAAGCCCCACCUGCCGGGGCCUUUCAGAUGAGGCCUUUGACCUCGCGUUCUGUCCGGGCUGCCAGACAAGGGGAGGUGCAGGGAAGGGAAGCGGGACCUAAUGGCAUGCAACCUCCGCCAGCCCAAGGCAGCCUCCCACCCGUCCCCCACCUCCGAGGUGACGUCCGUCACAGGGAGCCCUCCUUCCCUCCUUCAGGAGCUGCAGCUUUAUAGAUGUCGGACAGUGUUGCCUGCUACUUUCUAGCUUUCUCUAAGUUCUUUCGACACCCCACUGUAAGAUUUUCCGAACGAGAAUCACCCAGGACACGUGACAAAAGUACAGCUUCCAGAGCCUCGUUCCCCUUGCACUCAGACCUAGUGAGCUGAGGCGGGGCCCCGGAAUCUGCAUUUUACCAGCAAUAAAGUUGGAGAGUCACAUCGCCAUUGCGAUGAAGGGGGCAGGCUAUGGCUCAUCCCUUCUGACCUGAGUUAGACGCUGUGUGAUCUUGGGCAAAUGACUUAACCUCUCGAUGCCAUCUGAGACAAGAUGGGGACAACAGAGUACCUACCUGAGAGGGUCAUUUAACACCUGAGACCAAGCAG